rnacentral:sRNA from 1 species
CCCUCCUAUAUAGAGCCGAAAAUAAUUUGAACAUAAACAGGAAUUAUUGCCAGCCAACAACAGGACAAGCAGCAGGAGCAGCAGGAGCAGCAGAGGCAGACGGAGGCCAACAGCAACAUAAGAAAUAACAAGGCCAAGACACAGAGAAAACUUUAAAUUCCCUCAAAUAAGCCAAGAAAGGACAGAGAGCGAGAGAGAGAGAGAGAAAGCCGUGCAGCAGGCGGCGGGGAAAUAAAUAACAACAAAGUUGUCAUAAUAAAAAUACAUAAAUAAAAGCUGAGGAAUUUAUGCCACAAUAACAACGGGGCAGCCCAAGCGGCAGCGGCAGCAGCAGCAGCAGCAGCAACAGCAACAGCAACAGCGGAAGCAGCAGCACCACCGGAAGUAGUUCCAGAACAAGUUGGAAAUCUGGACAUAUUUGUGAUUCGGUGCGUUACUGCUGUUGCCUGAUUUCCAAGGCUCAUACGAUCGGAAUUUAUACUCUCUCUGCAUAAGCGCACCUUCAGAAGUAAAGUGGGAUUUCAAAAUGUUAAACACUAUUGUUUUAAACGCUGAUAUUCCUUUACUGAUGAAAAUUCUCAUAUGUCAGUGCGGAUCUGACACACUGAGGCCGGCUUCGGCUCUGGCUCGUCUUUGGCUCCUCUUUGGCUCCUCUUUGGCUCCUCUUUGGCUCGUUGUGGUAAAAACUGACGGCAAGGCGCCGAAGGUGUGACCACCAGAAAGCCAGACAGACGACAGGCACAUAUUUCAGAGCCGGGCAGGGCAUCGCUUACUUGGCCAUUGGCCUAAUGAGAAAUUAUGGCCGCAUCUACUCGUACGAGAAGCUCGGGCACUCCGGACGUAUGGCCCGGCCCGGCCCGGCUCGGCCUAUACUUUGCGGCUGCUGGCCAAUGCCAAUCUGUCCCUGCCCAGCUCUGUCCUGCCCUGCCCUGUUGUCUGCCCUGCCAUGCCCUGCCCUGUAGUCUGCUCUAAUUAUGCUAACCACUUGCGCAAACUUGGACUUGGGGACAGCGGCCCGAAGAAGUUUCCGAGCUCUGACGGGGGCCACAUCAAAGCAAAAGAUUUAAUUAAAAAUUUGAUAACUUGGUCGCUCUGCGCUGCUGGCCAUCAUCUGCAGAUUCCAUCAUCAGAAAUUUAAUCAAGACUAAAAGUUGGACCAGGCCAGAGCCAGAGCCAGUCCCCACUCGGAUAAUGAGAAUCUACUCAUACGUAAGUAAUUUGCAUAUAUCAAAUACGUAUAAUCGCCGGUGUUCUUAUAGCCUCCUCAGAGGUACGCCAAAGACAGUUCCAAAAUAAAUUGUUUACUGUUACGGAAAUGUAAUUUGCGGUUGAUUUUCUGUAUAUGGGAAUACUCCCAUGCAUGUACAAUGUAAAGAAUCCCUUGAA